rnacentral:rRNA from 1 species
CCUACGGGAGGCAGCAGUGGGGAAUAUUGCACAAUGGGGGGAACCCUGAUGCAGCGACGCCGCGUGAGUGAAGAAGUAUUUCGGUAUGUAAAGCUCUGUUAGCAGGGAAGAAGAAAGACGGUACCUGACCAAGAAGCCCCGGCUAACUACGUGCCAGCAGCCGCGGUAAUACGGAGGCGGCAAGCGUUAUCCGGAUUUACUGGGUGUAAAGGGAGCGUAGACGGCAUGGGAAGUCUGGGGUGAAAGGCAGGGGCCCAACCCGUGAGCUGCCCUGGAAACUGUCCGGCUGGAGUGCAGGAGAGGAAAGUGGAAUGCCUGGUGUAGCGGUGAAAUGCGUAGAUAUUAGGAGGAACACCAGUGGCGAAGGCGGCUUACUGGACUGUAACUGACGUUGAGGCUCGAAAGCGUGGGGAGCAAACAGGAUUAGAUACCCUUGUAGUC